rnacentral:rRNA from 1 species
ACUCCUACGGGAGGCAGCAGUGGGGAAUAUUGGACAAUGGGCGCAAGCCUGAUCCAGCCAUGCCGCGUGUGUGAAGAAGGCCUUCGGGUUGUAAAGCACCUUUGUCCGGAAAGAAAAGCAUUCGGUUAAUAACCGGGUGUCAUGACGGUACCGGAAGAAUAAGCACCGGCUAACUUCGUGCCAGCAGCCGCGGUAAUACGAAGGGUGCAAGCGUUACUCGGAAUUACUGGGCGUAAAGCGUGCGUAGGUGGUUCGUUAAGUCUGAUGUGAAAGCCCUGGGCUCAACCUGGGAAUGGCAUUGGAUACUGGCGAUCUAGAGUGCGGUAGAGGGGUGUGGAAUUCCCGGUGUAGCAGUGAAAUGCGUAGAUAUCGGGAGGAACAUCUGUGGCGAAGGCGACACCCUGGACCAGCACUGACACUGAGGCACGAAAGCGUGGGGAGCAAACAGGAUUAGAUACCCUGGUAGUCCACGCCCUAAACGAUGCGAACU